rnacentral:rRNA from 1 species
AUUGAACGCUGGCGGCAUGCUUUACACAUGCAAGUCGAACGGCAGCGCGGGGCAACCUGGCGGCGAGUGGCGAACGGGUGAGUAAUAUAUCGGAACGUACCCUGGAGUGGGGGAUAACGUAGCGAAAGUUACGCUAAUACCGCAUACGAUCUAAGGAUGAAAGUGGGGGAUCGCAAGACCUCAUGCUCCUGGAGCGGCCGAUAUCUGAUUAGCUAGUUGGUGAGGUAAAGGCUCACCAAGGCGACGAUCAGUAGCUGGUCUGAGAGGACGACCAGCCACACUGGGACUGAGACACGGCCCAGACUCCUACGGGAGGCAGCAGUGGGGGAAUUUUUGGGACAAUGGGGGCAACCCUGAUCCAGCAAUGCCGCGUGAGUGAAGAAGGCCUUCGGGUUGUAAAGCUCUUUUGUUCAGGGAAGAAACGGUACCUCGCUAAUACCGGGGCGUAAUGACGGUACCUGAAGAAUAAGACACCGGCGUAACUACGUAGCCAGCAGCCGCGGUAAU